ACUUCAGUCUCUGCAGAGGACUCUGGCUUAAUAGUCCACAGGUUAGCUGCUCGGACUCUUAUUUGCUUGCUAGAGAUGGAAGCAGAAAACAAUGAGGAAAAAGAAGAAGUAAAAAAGAAGGUGGUGCAGCUGAGUGUCCAAUCGGGAGUGAGCAGUUCUUUCACUGCUUUCAUUGUUGUCAAUACAGACAACAACAAGGAGAUUCAAGGACCUCUUCUGCACCGAGAUAUUCCAAUGGCUGGUCUAAUGAGAUGUGCUGCUACCCCUUGCUGUU